rnacentral:rRNA from 1 species
UACGUAGGGGGCUAGCGUUGUCCGGAAUCAUUGGGCGUAAAGCGCGUGUAGGCGGUCCGGUAAGUCCGCUGUGAAAGUCGGGGGCUCAACCCUCGGAUGCCGGUGGAUACUGUCGGGCUUGAGUACGGAAGAGGCGAGUGGAAUUCCGGGUGUAGCGGUGGAAUGCGUAGAGAUCCGGAAGAACACCGGUGGCGAAGGCGGUCUGCUGGGGUGAUGCUGGACACUGGAUGCGCGACAGCGUGGGGAGCAAACAGG